GUGGGGAAUCUUAGACAAUGGGCGCAAGCCUGAUCUAGCCAUGCCGCGUGAGCGAUGAAGGCCUUAGGGUUGUAAAGCUCUUUCGCUGGGGAAGAUAAUGACUGUACCCAGUAAAGAAGCCCCGGCUAACUCCGUGCCAGCAGCCGCGGUAAUACGGAGGGGGCUAGCGUUGUUCGGAAUUACUGGGCGUAAAGCGCGCGUAGGCGGAUUGGAAAGUUGGGGGUGAAAUCCCGGGGCUCAACCUCGGAACUGCCUUCAAAACUCCCAGUCUUGAGUUCGAGAGAGGUGAGUGGAACUGCGAGUGUAGAGGUGAAAUUCGUAGAUAUUCGCAAGAACACCAGUGGCGAAGGCGGCUCACUGGCCCGAUACUGACGCUGAGGUGCGAAAGCGUGGGGAGCAAACAGGAUUAGAAACCCUAGUAGUCC
rnacentral:rRNA from 1 species